rnacentral:SRP_RNA from 1 species
CGGGAGAUCGGCGCGGGCGAACCCGUCGCCAACCCGGUCAGGUCCGGAAGGAAGCAGCCGUAACGAUUUCGGUUCGGGUCGCGUCCGAUCUCCCACCU